rnacentral:rRNA from 1 species
GGGUUGUGAGGUUAAGCGACUAAGCGUACACGGUGGAUGCCCUGGCAGUCAGAGGCGAUGAAGGACGUGCUAAUCUGCGAAAAGCGUCGGUAAGGUGAUAUGAACCGUUAUAACCGGCGAUGUCCGAAUGGGGAAACCCAGUGCAAUUCGUUGCACUAUCGUUAACUGAAUACAUAGGUUAACGAGGCGAACCGGGGGAACUGAAACAUCUAAGUACCCCGAGGAAAAGAAAUCAACCGAGAUUCCCCCAGUAGCGGCGAGCGAACGGGGAGCAGCCCAGAGUCUGAAUCAGCUUGUGUGUUAGUGGAACGGUCUGGAAAGUCCGACGGUACAGGGUGAUAGUCCCGUACACCAAAAUGCACAGGCUGUGAACUCGAAGAGUAGGGCGGGACACGUGGUAUCCUGUCUGAAUAUGGGGGGACCAUCCUCCAAGGCUAAAUACUCCUGACUGACCGAUAGUGAACCAGUACCGUGAGGGAAAGGCGAAAAGAACCCCGGCGAGGGGAGUGAAAAAGAACCUGAAACCGUGUACGUACAAGCAGUGGGAGCACCUUCGGGUGUGACUGCGUACCUUUUGUAUAAUGGGUCAGCGACUUAUAUUCUGUAGCAAGGUUAACCGUAUAGGGGAGCCGCAGGGAAACCGAGUCUUAACUGGGCGUUAAGUUGCAGGGUAUAGACCCGAAACCCGGUGAUCUAGCCAUGGGCAGGUUGAAGGUUGGGUAACACUAACUGGAGGACCGAACCGACUAAUGUUGAAAAAUUAGCGGAUGACUUGUGGCUGGGGGUGAAAGGCCAAUCAAACCGGGAGAUAGCUGGUUCUCCCCGAAAGCUAUUUAGGUAGCGCCUCGUGAACUCAUCUUCGGGGGUAGAGCACUGUUUCGGCUAGGGGGUCAUCCCGACUUACCAACCCGAUGCAAACUACGAAUACCGAAGAAUGUUAUCACGGGAGACACACGGCGGGUGCUAACGUCCGUCGUGAAGAGGGAAACAACCCAGACCGCCAGCUAAGGUCCCAAAGUCAUGGUUAAGUGGGAAACGAUGUGGGAAGGCACAGACAGCCAGGAUGUUGGCUUAGAAGCAGCCAUCAUUUAAAGAAAGCGUAAUAGCUCACUGGUCGAGUCGGCCUGCGCGGAAGAUGUAACGGGGCUAAACCAUGCACCGAAGCUGCGGCAGCGACACUAUGUGUUGUUGGGUAGGGGAGCGUUCUGUAAGCCUGCGAAGGUGUGCUGUGAGGCAUGCUGGAGGUAUCAGAAGUGCGAAUGCUGACAUAAGUAACGAUAAAGCGGGUGAAAAGCCCGCUCGCCGGAAGACCAAGGGUUCCUGUCCAACGUUAAUCGGGGCAGGGUGAGUCGACCCCUAAGGCGAGGCCGAAAGGCGUAGUCGAUGGGAAACAGGUUAAUAUUCCUGUACUUGGUGUUACUGCGAAGGGGGGACGGAGAAGGCUAUGUUAGCCGGGCGACGGUUGUCCCGGUUUAAGCAUGUAGGCUGAUUGUCCAGGCAAAUCCGGAUAAUCAAGGCUGAGGUGUGAUGACGAGGCACUACGGUGCUGAAGUAACAAAUGCCCUGCUUCCAGGAAAAGCCUCUAAGCAUCAGGUAACAUCAAAUCGUACCCCAAACCGACACAGGUGGUCAGGUAGAGAAUACCAAGGCGCUUGAGAGAACUCGGGUGAAGGAACUAGGCAAAAUGGUGCCGUAACUUCGGGAGAAGGCACGCUGGUGUGUAGGUGAAGUCCCUGCGGAUGGAGCUGAGACCAGUCGAAGAUACCAGCUGGCUGCAACUGUUUAUUAAAACACAGCACUGUGCAAACACGAAAGUGGACGUAUACGGUGUGACGCCUGCCCGGUGCCGGAAGGUUAAUUGAUGGGGUUAUCCGUAAGGAGAAGCUCUUGAUCGAAGCCCCGGUAAACGGCGGCCGUAACUAUAACGGUCCUAAGGUAGCGAAAUUCCUUGUCGGGUAAGUUCCGACCUGCACGAAUGGCGUAAUGAUGGCCAGGCUGUCUCCACCCGAGACUCAGUGAAAUUGAACUCGCUGUGAAGAUGCAGUGUACCCGCGGCAAGACGGAAAGACCCCGUGAACCUUUACUAUAGCUUGACACUGAACAUUGAGCCUUGAUGUGUAGGAUAGGUGGGAGGCUUUGAAGCGUGGACGCCAGUCUGCGUGGAGCCAACCUUGAAAUACCACCCUUUAAUGUUUGAUGUUCUAACGUUGGCCCCUGACCGGGGUUGCGGACAGUGUCUGGUGGGUAGUUUGACUGGGGCGGUCUCCUCCCAAAGCGUAACGGAGGAGCACGAAGGUUAGCUAAUCCUGGUCGGACAUCAGGAGGUUAGUGCAAUGGCAUAAGCUAGCUUGACUGCGAGCGUGACGGCGCGAGCAGGUGCGAAAGCAGGUCAUAGUGAUCCGGUGGUUCUGAAUGGAAGGGCCAUCGCUCAACGGAUAAAAGGUACUCCGGGGAUAACAGGCUGAUACCGCCCAAGAGUUCAUAUCGACGGCGGUGUUUGGCACCUCGAUGUCGGCUCAUCACAUCCUGGGGCUGAAGUAGGUCCCAAGGGUAUGGCUGUUCGCCAUUUAAAGUGGUACGCGAGCUGGGUUUAGAACGUCGUGAGACAGUUCGGUCCCUAUCUGCCGUGGGCGCUGGAGAAUUGAGGGGGGCUGCUCCUAGUACGAGAGGACCGGAGUGGACGCAUCACUGGUGUUCGGGUUGUCAUGCCAAUGGCACUGCCCGGUAGCUAAAUGCGGAAGAGAUAAGUGCUGAAAGCAUCUAAGCACGAAACUUGCCCCGAGAUGAGUUCUCCCUGAGACUUUAAGUCUCCUGAAGGAACGUUAAAGACGAUGACGUUGAUAGGCCGGGUGUGUAAGCGCAGCGAUGCGUUGAGCUAACCGGUACUAAUGAACCGUGAGGCUUAACCUUACAACGCCGAAG